rnacentral:rRNA from 1 species
GAUGAACGCUAGCGAUAGGCUUAACACAUGCAAGUCGAGGGACCGGCGCACGGGUGCGUAACGCGUAUGCAACUUGCCUCACAGAGGGGGAUAACCCGUCGAAAGACGGACUAAUACCGCGUACUGUGAGAUAGGCAUGCGUCCCAUUAGCUAGUUGGUGAGGUAACGGCUCACCAAGGCCACGAUGCAUAGCCGACCUGAGAGGGUGAUCGGCCACACUGGGACUGAGACACGGCCCAGACUCCUACGGGAGGCAGCAGUGAGGAAUAUUGGUCAAUGGGCGAGAGCCUGAACCAGCCAAGUCGCGUGAAGGAUGACUGUCUAUGGAUUGUAAACUUCUUUUGUAGGGGAAUAUGUACCCUACGAAUAAGCAUCGGCUAACUCCGUGCCAGCAGCCGCGGUAAUAC